rnacentral:rRNA from 1 species
CGACCGGCGCACGGGUGCGUAACGCGUAUGCAACCUACCUUUAACAGGGGAUAACACUGAGAAAUUGGUACUAAUACCCCAUAAUAUCAUAGAAGGCAUCUUUUAUGGUUGAAAAUUCCGAUGGUUAGAGAUGGGCAUGCGUUGUAUUAGCUAGUUGGUGGGGUAACGGCUCACCAAGACGAUGAUAGGUAGGGGUUCUGAGAGGAAGGUCCCCCACAUUGGAACUGAGACACGGUCCAA